CGAUGCUCCCCUCGCCCCCAGGCUAGCUGGAGUGUGGCUGGGGUCCCUGCAGCUGCCCUGUAUGCUGUGUCACCCCCAGGAGAAAAGUCCCUGGCGGGAAGCGGCCCUCUGCCGGGAGGCUGUUUCCUCAACUGGCCAAGGUGAAGAAGUUGAGGUUCUGAGGAUGUGAUUAAACAGACAGCUGAUACACGGCAGAGCAGAGAGUUGCACUUGCUCUUUCCAGAUCACCUCCCUGUCCCUCAGCUCGACCCACUUUGGCUGGAGAUGGAGAGGGAGCACAAGGAAGGCCUAGGACAGCGUUUGGUUCCCAGUGGUCAUGGGAUCACUGCUGACUGAUGCUGAAUCUCGUGGAGAAGGGACUGGAUCCUGGAUGGAGCUUUGUGUCAGCUACCAAGUUCUCCUCUUACAUUCAGCAUCUGUAAAAUCAGGAGGUGGAGGAGAAAGCUGAGGGCUCCAGCUGCCCAAGAACUAGAACUAUCUAGCAUCUUCUUUCUCUCCUACUGCCCACCCGAGGCCUGCCUCUCACCACUGUUCAUCCUCAACCUGCUGCAGGGCCCAGCCUGGCUCCAUGUAAGCAAAGCUGCCAGCAGGGUCCUUUGUGGUGCUGCUCCCGUGUGGCACUGCCUAGGGGCCCCACCAUGGGGCAACAGAUGGACCUAUGGUCUCUACAGAACAAUAGUGGGGGAGGGGCCCUGGCAUCGCCCGCCCCAAACAGGAAGCGCUGCAUGAGCUUCAAAGAACUGGCAGGGCCAAGGGGCUGAGUGGCUGGAGCCAGUGCCAGGACCGGCGGCUGCCUGAAGAGAUGCCUGCCAGCCUCAGGAUGCCCAGCCUGCAGUGGGGGUGGGGCUGCAGUGGCCAGGGCAGCUGGGUCUCCGGCAGAGGAGGCUUUGCACCCUCAGUGAAGCAGCCACUGACCUGAGACAGGCUGAGGGAAGGGGGCUCAGACACCAGGCUGUUUCCUGGACCUGCUGCCACUAGCUAGCGGGGCUGCAGGUUCUUUCCCAGGCCACAGUGGGUCUGGCCCUCCAGCAAG
rnacentral:lncRNA from 1 species